UACAGAGGGGGCGAGCGUUGUUCGGAAUUACUGGGCGUAAAGGGCGCGUAGGCGGCCCGCUAAGUCGAACGUGAAAUCCCCAGGCUCAACCUGGGAACUGCGUCCGAUACUGGCAGGCUUGAAUCCGGGAGAGGGAUGUGGAAUUCCAGGUGUAGCGGUGAAAUGCGUAGAUAUCUGGAGGAACACCGGUGGCGAAGGCGGCAUCCUGGCUCGUAACUGACGCUCAUGUGCGAAAGCUAGGGGAGCGAACGGG
rnacentral:rRNA from 1 species